rnacentral:rRNA from 1 species
UACGUAGGGUGCAAGCGUUGUCCGGAAUUAUUGGGCGUAAAGAGCUCGUAGGCGGUUUGUCGCGUCGGCUGUGAAAACUCGGGGGCUCAACCCCGAGCCUGCAGUCGAUACGGGCAAACUAGAGUGCUGUAGGGGAGACUGGAAUUCCUGGUGUAGCGGUGAAAUGCGCAGAUAUCAGGAGGAACACCGGUGGCGAAGGCGGGUCUCUGGGCAGUAACUGACGCUGAGGAGCGAAAGCGUGGGGAGCGAACAGG